GUCCAAAGACCCGUUCAUUUUAGAAGAGCUUCUCUGCUGUCAGAAUUCAGUUCUGCUGAACACCUUGUCAACAUGAUGAUCAGAAUUGUGCUUGGAGUCAUUGCAGCGAUUGGAUUCCUCACUCUCAGUGAAGCCCUGACGUGUAAUUCAUGUAAAGUGGGCAUUUUAGGCAAAUGUUUAUUGAGCUCCCAAGUGUCCUGUGCUGCCUCCGAGCUCAACUGCUUCACUGCAAAAGCAGAGUUCAAUGUGACUGGGUUUCUGAGUCUGUCCUCAAGUGGCUGCACAUCUGAUUGCAACAACACCGCCGGGACCGUCCUGGGAGCGGGAUACACCGUGACCAAAACCUGCUGCGCCACAGAUCUGUGCAACGGAGCAAGUGCUGCGCAGCUGUCCAUGGCUGGGGCUCUCAGCGCCGCACUACUGGCCUCUGUCUGCAGUUUCAUGCUGUAGAUGUUACACCUCCUUGUCUGCACACUGUUAUGUUCACAAUACCUCCUUGAAUCGGAAUCAGUGAAGAUAUAAUCUAGAAUGCAUAGAUCCCAUAACUUACUGUAACUUUAAAUGUUUACUCCACUGUUUUUACUUUUCUCAUUGCUAAUAUGCAGUAAUAAUUUUUUUAAAUAAUCAUUUAUAUACAAUGCAAAACAUAUUUAAAAUUACAACAGUUUAGCUGAUGUCAUUUUUAAUAAAAACCUACAUUUGGAUGUACUCUUUGGAAUGAGGUGAUGAUAUAUUUGAGGUGGGGCUGAAUAAACAGAAACAUCACAGCAAUGACUCUGGGUUAGGUACUAGCUUUGGGAUUUUUGAUUUUUUGAUAUUGAUUUUACAUAUCUAGUAAAUGAUAACAGAGUUGUAAUUUUUGGGUGAACUAUCCCUUGACUUUAUAUUUAUUCUAGCACAUUGUAACAUUAGAUUAAUAAACAUGGUAAAAAAAAAACUGUAAACUGUUCUUUCAGUUAUGUUUUUGUUAGUAUUAACUGUGACCAAAUGUAACCUUAUUGUGAAGUGUUACCAUUAAACUAACUUAACAUAUCUCUUUUAACAUAUCACCUUUUUGUGAAGAUAUUUUUAUGUAUAUCUAAUACAGCUUCUUUAUGCCAUCAUAAUUUAAUGUAAUUAAAUGUAAUCAUCACUUUAAUGUAAGUCAGACAUUUUUAAAACUAUAAGAUUAAAUAUUAAAACAAUAUUUACAGCAUAUUAAAUGAAAUAUUUUUAAUUAUCUUUAGUCAGAUAUAUGUGGACCAAAUGUCCCAGCAGUAAGAAUUCAUUAGGGAUUGUUUGCAUGGUCUCCAGUGGGAGAUCCGGACAGUAGUGUUGGGUCCGAGUCCACCUUGUUGAGUCCUCGUCUUUAACCAG
rnacentral:lncRNA from 1 species